GGGUGCGAUCAUACCAGCACUAAUGCACCGGAUCCCAACAGAACUCCGAAGUUAAACAUGCUUGGGCGAGACUAUUACUAAGAUGGGUGACCUCUUGGGAAGUCCUCGUGUUGCACCCC
rnacentral:rRNA from 1 species